rnacentral:lncRNA from 1 species
GUCAAACCCUUGACCCCAUUCUCCCCCAAUUGCCAAUAGCGAUUACCCAUUUCCAUUUCCCUCCAAUUGAAAACCCAAAACCCCUCUCUCCUGUUGAUGGCAAAUGCCCGGCUAGAAAAUUGAGAGACGACUCUGCAAGUCGACGAUGCAGAGCUCCUAAUCGUGAGCCAAGAUCCCGCAAAUUGUGACUGCAAGAACCACAAAACCUCCAAGCUCAAGAACCCUAAAAAUCCGAACCUGCAGUUGCCUAAAUAUGCGACCUUCAGCGAACCUACAUUGGGAACCUUUGAAGAACUUCCGAUCGAGGGCCGACCUCCAUUGCAAACAUGUAGUGAACGUUCGACUAACUUGCAAUCGCCUCCCUUCCGUUUGUACCGAAAUGGCAGAUGUUGAGAAACAAUCAACAGGUUAGAAAAAAAAAUAACCUCCAUCUACUGCUGAUUCAAUUGGUUGUAGUAUUUUAAAUGAUUUAUUUUUUUCAAUUGGAUAGUAUCAUUUAUUGCAUAUUACUGGAGUCUUAACUUAUGUAAUUUUUAAUACAAAUGUAGAUGACUCAGACUUCAAUGACUCGGACUAUGAUGUGUAUGAUGAUGAUGAAAAUCUGUUUGAUCGUAGUGUGAUAUGCAUACUAUGGUGGAGUAUGAAGAAGCCCUUGAAUUACAUAGUUUUUCAUAUGCAUCUUCAGAGAAAUUAAAAUUCGGUAGUGGUUCAGAUUCGGAGGAUAAUUUAGGUCGAUUGAAUUACCUUGAAUAUUAUGAUGGAAAUGAAAAGAAGAAUCCACAUCUUGAGGUUGGUUUACUUUUUGCUUCGUUUGACAGCUGAAAUCUGUUGUUAGGAAUUAUGCAGUGUUCAAUCGGGUUAAACCUAUCUUCAAACAAAACGAUAAAGAUUGGGUUCAUUGUUUUUGUAAAGAUGGAUGCCGAUGGAAGUUGUGGGCGUCCAAGUUACAGGGUCGAGACACGGUUCACAUAAAAAUGUAUGAUCCGAAACACACUUAUUUUAAUGUUCGGACGAAUAAGUAUGCAAAUUAUAAAUGGCUUGCGGAAUAUUAUUUGGAGGACUUCAAAGUUGAUCCUGAAUGGAAGACAAAACAUUUUAGAACUACAGUGAGAAAGGAUUUUGUUUGCACAUUACUAAGGUACUUGCUUGUAAUUCGCGAAAGUGCGCUAAGGUUUUAAUAGAACAUAGCGAUAAAGAACAAUUUGCUUUGUUAUGGCGUUAUAGUGCUAAAUUGAGAAGAACAAAUUUGGGUUUAACUGUGAUCAUCUCUCAGGUGGAUAAUAUACUUAGGUAUCUACAUUUGCAUUGAGGCAUGUAAGAGAGGAUUCUUACUGGGUUGUCGAUGUUUUGUGAGUAUAGAAGGAUGUUUUUUGAAAGGAAAAUAUUGUGAUCAGUUGCUGGCAGCAAUUGGGGUUGAUGUCAAUGAUUGCAUAUAUCCUAUUUCAUAUGCAGUAGUUGAGAAAGAAAACACUAGUUCGUGGUGUUGGUUUCUUACAUUGUUAUCAGAGUACCUUUCUAUAGAGAACUGGUUGUUCGUAACCUUCAUGAGUAAUAGACAAAAAGGACUAGUUAAUGUUGUUGUCGAUCUAUUCCCGAAAGCAGAACAUGAACGUAGGUAUUGUGUUAAGCAUAUGUAUCAUAAUUUUUUUCGAAGCGAAUUCACGGGAAAGUACUUAAAAGAUUGUUUGCGGGGUGCUACAAAAUCAAGUCAUUUGGCUUUGUUUAAAUACUGGAAGUCAAAUAUUGAAACUGCUAAUUCGACGGCCGAUGGAUGGCUGAAGGCCAAACCAUUGUCUGAGUGGAGUAGGACUCACUUUUCUGAACAAGCAAAGUGCGAAAUGCUCCUUACUAACCUGUGCGAGUGCAAACAAAUUUAUUCUUGAGGAAAGAGAUAAAUCAAGUCUAACGAUGUUGAUUGGCAUUCAAAUGAAGUUGAUGCAUAGAGUUCAAAUGAAGCGGGACAAAAUGAGAAACUACAACUCAAUAUGUUCAAGAACCUAAAAGAUUCUGGAAAAAAAUGUUGUUGCGGCCCAUGAAUGCAUCUUGCGGUGGAAUGGGAUAAAUCAAUAUCAAGUGGAGUGUCCAAAUGGUGAAUACGUAGUUGACAUGGACAGCAAAAUUUGUGCUUGUCGAAGAUGGGAAAUAUCAGGAGUCCCGUGUUUGUAUGCCAUUACCUGCAUCUUAGACAAAGAACAUGAGAUAAAUGAUUGCGUGUCAGAACGGUUUACAGUUGACAGCUACAUGAGCCAUAUGAACACAUUAUAAAUCCGAUGAACGGCAAAGAAUUGUGGCUUGAAACUGAACAAUCACAUGUCAAGCCUCCACCUUGGUACGUUGCUACAAAAGGAAGGAAACAAAGAAAAGAGAAUGAACCCUCUUAAUCACAAGCACGAUCACAAUCAACAGUGUCAGUAAAAAAAAAGGGUAUGGUGUUUAUGACAUGUUCAGUGUGCAGAGUAAAAGGACACAGCAAAAGGUUCCACAAAGUGAAGAACGUACUACAUACCAGUGCAAGUGCAACUGAGGAUCAGCAAAUUGUUGAUGAUUGUUGAAAAUGAUCGAGGUUGUGAUGCUUUUGUUAUUUUGGGACAGUCCCUUAAUUUGAAUGAUUGGACUGAGAUGUCGGAUACACCAAAUGUGAUAGUGUGUUUAGUUAUCUAAACACUUUUUUUAAAACCUCUUACGUAAUUAUAGUGUUGGCACGAAAUGGAAAUACAUUUUGUGUUCUAGUCUAUCAUUUCAAUUGUACAUUGGGAUUGUAUUGAUUUUGGUAUUGAAUAAUCACAAGAAGUUGCUGGAAUUUUGGAAUUGAAACAAACUCAAAUUUGAAACAUAUUAAACAUAUUAUACCAACUUACUUGCAGCCACGUCCAAGGCCAUUUUACUAGCGAACUGAUACACAUUACAGGAACACUAUAGGAAACGAAAAGACAUUACAGAUCCAUAAA